rnacentral:rRNA from 1 species
CGAACGGGUGAGUAAUACGUAAGCAACCUGCCUACAAAGACUGGGAUAACACUUGGAAACGAGCGCUAAUACCGGGAUAGGUAAUAGGAAGGCAUCUUCCUAUUAUUAAAGGUUUGAAACACUAGUAGAUGGGCUUACGGCGCAUUAGCUUGUUGGUGAGGUAACGGCCCACCAAGGCGAUGAUGCGUAGCCGGACUGAGAGGUUGAACGGCCACAUUGGGACUGAGACACGGCCCAGACUCCUACGGGAGGCAGCAGUAGGGAAUUUUCGGCAAUGGGCGCAAGCCUGACCGAGCAAUGCCGCGUGAGUGAUGAAGGUUUUCGGAUUGUAAAGCUCUGUUGUAAGGGAAGAACGUUUCGGAUAGACUCCGGAAGUGACGGUACCUUACCAGAAAGCCACGGCUAACUACGUGCCAGCAGCCGCGGUAAUACGUAGGUGGCGAGCGUUAUCCGGAUUUAUUGGGCGUAAAGGGUGCGCAGGCGGCCUGUUAAGUUUAAGGUGAAAGCGUGGGGCUCAACCCCAUAUAGCCUUAGAUACUGGCAGGCUAGAGUACUGGAGAGGAAAGUGGAAUUCCAUGUGUAGCGGUAAAAUGCGUAGAUAUAUGGAGGAACACCGGUGGCGAAGGCGACUUUCUAGACAGUAACUGACGCUCAUGCACGAAAGCGUGGGGAGCAAAUAGGAUUAGAUACCCUAGUAGUCCACGCUGUAAACGAUGAAUGCUAAGUGUUGGGGUAACUCAGUGCUGCAGUUAACGCAAUAAGCAUUCCGCCUGUGGAGUAUGCACGCAAGUGUGAAACAUAAAGGAAUUGACGGGGGCCCGCACAAGCGGUGGAGUAUGUGGUUUAAUUCGACGCAACGCGAAGAACCUUACCAGGCCUUGACAUCCCUUGCAAAACUCUAGAGAUAGAGCAGAG